GUCCCCGUAGCGCAAUGGUUAGCACCUAAAAUGACUUUAGCGUUUUGAUUUAUAUCCGAACUACCUAAGGCACCAGCAGACAUCGGUUCGAAUCCGACCGGGGACA